AUGGUCAUAUGAUGAAUAGAAUCAAAUCACCAUCUGUCAGAUGAGUUCAUGAUGGAUUUGCUUUUAUCUUAUAAGGAUCAU
rnacentral:snoRNA from 1 species